GGGCGGGUGAUGAACCCGUUCUGAUGGNACCGGAAGAAGAAGCCCCGGCUAACUACGUGCCANCAGCCGCGGUAAUACGUAGGGGGCGAGCGUUGUUCNNAAUUACUGGGCGUANAGGGCGNGUAGGCGGUGCGAUAAGUUGGGCGUGAAAUCCCCGGGCUUAACCCGGGGCGGUCGUUCAAGACUGUCNUGCUAGAGUGCAGGAGAGGGNAGUGGAAUUCCCGGUGUAGCGGUGAAAUGCGUANAUAUCGNGAGGAACACCUGCGG
rnacentral:rRNA from 1 species